GCCAUAAUCAGCUGUGAAAACUGGCAAAGUUCUCUUGUGUUAGUCUAUGGACCAUGCAGAGUGGAUAUUUUUUUUUUUUUUGAAAUAGAAGUAGUAUUGCAAAAAACAACAGUAAAAGAGACUGUGGGGAGAUGACCUAUACCCAAGCAGGUCUGGGCUGCCUCCUGGUGCUGCACAGGAUUAACUGAUAGCAGGAAGCAGGAGUGAAGGGAAAAAGAGGAACUCUGAUUGUUGAAGAUACAGUAGGUAUUGAAAUGGGUUCCAGGGACGGCCCACUUAAGAUGUUAUGGAUCUCUCAAGCUCAGAUGCCAGAAGAGACUGACGGUGAUAGAUCAGCUGUCACCUUCAUUUCCAGAGGAGACCAACAUGCAGGCUUUCAGCUCCACAGCGAGCUUCAGCUAUUCUGUCCGGUGCAUGGAGAACAAAUGAAGAUGCACUGAAGACUAUCCUUCAUGCAUCCUGUCAAAUAGGAUUAUUACUGCAGAGUAUUGUCCUCAUUGGUGACACUCAGUUUCCAAGAGUUUCUCUUCCUUUACUGCAAGCCUUAAAUGAGGAGGUCUGCCAGGAAACUGAAUAGAACCUUGUUAGGAUAUCAGGAAAGAAAGCAUUUGUACUUAAAUGUAGGCAUCUCCAGUGAAACUGAUGAGAAAGUAAGCAAAGGCUUCUGCUGCAUUUAUCAAUAUCUGAAGCUCACAAAAUUAAUUAAUUUUGUUUAAUUAAUGGAUAUUACUUUUGUUUAAUUAAUGAAAAAAAAUGCUUCCAGAAUUCCUCGUGAUGUUUUAUUCUCAUAGACUAACAUAGUUCUCUCCUACGAUGUUCUCAAUACAUGGUGGAGCUUGAAUUUUGGAACAGCGUAAAUCAAGAUUUAAUAGACAAUACACUACAGUAUAUAUUCCCUGCCUCUAUUGCCUCUGUUUUAUUUUCCCUCCAAUAGCUAACUGGGAAACAAACAUCUGAAUAAGAACAAAACUUAAGUUACAGAAUUGUAACUUAAUCUUCUGAGGCUAUAAUCCUAAAUAUACUUACCAUGAAAUAUACUCCAAUGAAUACAAUGGGAUUUAUAAGAAUUAGCAUGUAUCAGAUUAUGCUGUGAAAAUGUUCUGUUAGCUUUUUCCAUUCUUUCAUGAGUAUCCAGCUGACGCCUUAAUACAUGACUUCAAGAUGUCAAAAUUGGAAACUAGAAGGGUUAAAAUUGAGUACAUGGAUAUUUAAAUACAGCAAGUUGAAACAGAGCAUUGAUGUUACACUUUUAUAACCAUUUUAUUCCUUUCAGCAUAA